rnacentral:rRNA from 3 species
AAAUUGAAGAGUUUGAUCAUGGCUCAGAUUGAACGCUGGCGGCAGGCCUAACACAUGCAAGUCGAACGGUAACAGGAAGCAGCUUGCUGCUUCGCUGACGAGUGGCGGACGGGUGAGUAAUGUCUGGGAAACUGCCUGAUGGAGGGGGAUAACUACUGGAAACGGUGGCUAAUACCGCAUAACGUCGCAAGACCAAAGAGGGGGACCUUCGGGCCUCUUGCCAUCAGAUGUGCCCAGAUGGGAUUAGCUUGUUG